AUGCAGUCGAACGGACCCUUCGGGGUUAGUGGCGGACGGGUGAGUAACACGUGGGAACGUGCCCUUUGGUUCGGAACAACACAGGGAAACUUGUGCUAAUACCGGAUAAGCCCUUCGGGGGAAAGAUUUAUUGCCAUUGGAGCGGCCCGCGUUGGAUUAGGUAGUUGGUGAGGUAAAGGCUCACCAAGCCUGCGAUCCAUAGCUGGUCUGAGAGGAUGAUCAGCCACAUUGGGACUGAGACACGGCCCAAACUCCUACGGGAGGCAGCAGUGGGGAAUCUUGCGCAAUGGGCGAAAGCCUGACGCAGCCAUGCCGCGUGAAUGAUGAAGGUCUUAGGAUUGUAAAAUUCUUUCAGCGGGGACGAUAAUGACGGUACCCGCAGAAGAAGCCCCGGCUAACUUCGUGCCAGCAGCCGCGGUAAUACGAAGGGGGCUAGCGUUGCUCGGAAUUACUGGGCGUAAAGGGAGCGUAGGCGGAUAGUUUAGUCAGAGGUGAAAGCCCAGGGCUCAACCUUGGAAAUGCCUUUGAUACUGGCUAUCUUGAGUAUGGGAGAGGUAAGCGGAAUUCCGAGUGUAGAGGUGAAAUUCGUAGAUAUUCGGAAGAACACCAGUGGCGAAGGCGGCUUACUGGCCCAUUACUGACGCUGAGGCUCGAAAGCGUGGGGAGCAAACAGGAUUAGAUACCCUGGUAGUCCACGCUG
rnacentral:rRNA from 1 species